GGAUUGGAACCGGACAUAAACUCCCUGCGGUUCACUUUCCUCGGCGCUCCAUCUCCGGUCUCUGCAACUGUAACGCUUCACAUGUCCGAAAAAAACCCUAGGACGCCAAACGACCCUCUCAUCCCCCUCCCAUUCUCAUCCGUGGAAAUGGACACUCGCCAACUCAUCGACUCUCUCACCUCUCACAUAUCACUCUAUCACUUCUCCUCCCCAAAUCAUAAUCCCAAUUCUGACCCCAACCCCAGAUCAUCCAUCCUCAAAUGGUUCUCAUCACUCACCGUCCAUCAGCGCCAAGCGCACCUCACCACCGUCGAACCGAACUUCAUCCAGCUUCUCCUCUGCAUGCAGUCCAAGCUCCGCACUCAUGGCCAUGGCUUUUUCUUCAUUCUCCCCGAUCUUCCCUCCCGAAACCGUCCGUUCCUGCCCAGCCUCUGCUACAGAAAGUCCCAGGGGCUCUUGGCUCGGGUUUCGGAGGGGAAUGGUUUGGAGCGGUCGGUUUAUGAGUCGGUUCGGCUGUUCGGGUCAAGGGAAGGGGAGAAUGCGAACGAGUGCUGUUGUUCUCUGAAGGGUCUCGAUUCAAUGACUGUGUGCGAGGAUUUCGUGGUGAAUGUGGAUAGAUUUGUGGCGGUAAUGGAUGGGGUUUCGAAUGGUGGUUUUUUGAGGGGCGAAGCAACUGAAUUGGGCGCGGAUUGGGUGGAAAUGAAGUGGUUGAAGGCCAAAGGGUACUACAGUAUCGAGUCAUUUUUGGCUAAUAGGCUUGAGGUGGCAUUGAGGUUGGCGUGGCUAAAUUGUAGUAGUGGGAAGAAGAGGGGAGUGAAGUUGCAAGAGAAGGUGAACGCCACAGGCAUGGCAGUUAAUGUGUUUUGGAGGAAGAAGGGAUGCUUGGACUGGUGGGGCAAAUUGGAUGGUGCAAUUAAAAGGAAGGUGUUUCGGACAGUACUGGGAAAAGCGGCAAAGUCUCUGACUGACGAGACUUUGAAGGGGGCGAAUAGUGCCUUGGAGGAUGAGAUGUGGGCCUUCAGUGUAGGAAUGGAGCAACCAUUGAGGUACAACUCUUUUGUAUCAUCUCAAAGGACUAUCACAGCACCCUCAGCCGAUGUGGAAUUUGGUUCAACCAUUGCCCCAGCUUCUGUGUCUGGAAAAAUUACUCCCUUGCCCCAAAUCUUUAAUGGUUUGCUUGUGCUUUGGGAUAUUCUUACUAUGCUGUUGUCAUGUCAGCACUCUGAAUAUGACAAAGAGAAACUAUUUUUUAGCACAUUGGGUUCUGUCAGUACCAUUUCAGAUUGUGUACUAAGGAAACUGCGAACAUUUCUCAUGGUUAUUUCACUUGAUUGCACAAAAAUAGAACUAUUGGGAGAGGGAACUUCAAAGUGCCCACCAAAUAAAAUGAAAGAAAACUCUGGAGCGGGUAGCCGGAGAAAAAAGAGGAAAACACGGAACAUGAAAAGGGUAAAUCCCGUUUCAGCAUUUCAAGGAGAUAAUUUAACAAGAUGUGAACCUUUGGAGGGUCAAGGACGCUGUUUGGCUCAGGCAGAGAUUGUAGAUUUUGCAGAAUCCAACAAUAUGGCUUGUAUACAUCAGGGAAAGAAUGUUUGCAGAGAGGCAUUGUCAUCAGCAGUUAAAAUGGAGCAUGCCCAGUGUCUGGUUGAAGAAAAUGUCCAGACAGCUGCAAGGAAGAACAGGAAAGGAAGAACAAAGAACAAAAACGGUAACUUAAUUGAUCCUCUUGAAAAGAAUAAUGAGAUGAAAACUAGAGAAGUUUCUUCUUUCUCUGAUGGUUCUCAAGUCGAGGCUGGAAAGUCUCAUUGUGUAUCUGACAGUUCAGUUGUUCAGAGCUUGCCAAACAGUGACGCAACUAUUAGAACCAACCUUGAGCGAAAUUUAAGUUUGUGCAAUUCUACCAGUGGAACUACUCAGGAUGAUGCUGCUCAGAGCAUUCAAGGAGAUCCUGUUCUUGGCUCUACUAGGAGUAGGUGUCAUGCUAGUCUGGAGUGGGACCAGUUCACAAAUAGCGUGAUUGAAGAACAGACUGUAUCCAGAUCCAGUGGUGCCUCUCAUGCUGCCCAAAGCAUUCAAGGAGAUUUUGUUCUUGGCUCUACUAGGAGUGGCUGUCAUGCUAGCCUGGAGUGCAAUCAGUUCACAGGUAGCGUGAUUGAAAAACAGACUAUAUCUUCCAGAUCCAGUGGUGGCUCUCAUGCUGAUACAGAGUGGGACAAAUUCAGAUAUAGUGAUAUUGAAAAUCAUACCACAACUCCCAGUACUGAAACUUUAAGCUGCAGGGUAGAUUGUAAUAGAACGCCCCAUGUCGUGCCUGUGAUGGAGCAUGAUAGUGUUGUAACCGAUGAAGACAACUUUUCUGACCCUGGACAAUUAAAUGAAAAUGGUGCAAAGUCAAUUAUAACUGUAGAUCCGAUCAAAGCUACUGGUACUGAGGAGGAAAGCAAACCAAUCCCAGGGCAGGAGAGCGAAAAUCUAUGUAGUAGUGAACUAGCAAAUUCUGUGGGACGCCCUUCAUAUGAGUGGCCUAGUGUAAGCUGUGUAGCUCCUAUUCAUUUCCCAUCUGUGAACUCACAUCUCCCAGCUGCCACUGAUAGAUUACAUCUCGAUGUUGGCCACAACUGGCACAAUCACUUCCGCCGAGCCUUUUUGCCUGCAAUGCAUCAGACAAGAAAUCCACAAAUUGAAGGUGGAUGUGGCCGAAUUCUUUCCCGACAACUGCCAAUGAGUUUAGAUUGGCCACCAAUGGUGCGACAUGUCAGUGGAUUGGCUCCAUCUAUGACCUGUAAUUUUGAUUCUGGUUUUGCCUCAAGACGGAAGUCUUCAUUUUGGCAGGGUUUCACCACUCACGGUUUACAGAUCAAUGCAACAGCUACUGAGGAGGAAAGGAAGUAUUCUGGGGACUUUGCAGACUUGUCUGAUCGAACAAAUUCUCAGGACCUGGUGGAUGAAUUGGACAGUCAUUGGGUGUCAGAAGAAGAAUUUGAGGUGCAUGCAGUUUCUGGGAUGGAUUAUAAUCAAUACUUUGGUGGUGGUGUGAUGUACUGGAAUCCUUCUGAUCAUACGGGGACAAGUUUCUCUCGUCCUCCUUCUCUUAGUUCUGAUGAUAGCUCGUGGGCUUGGCGUGAGGCAGACAUGAAUAGGGCCGUUGAUGACAUGGUUGCAUUCUCAUCAUCCUAUAGUACAAAUGGUUUAACUUCACCAACUGCAGGUUCUUUUUGUUCUCCCUUUGAUACUUUGGCCUCUGGACACCAGGCACUUGGUUAUGUUAUGUCAGGAAAUGAAGCAGCGAACAAGGUGCUGCAUACAUCAUCAACAAUGUCGGAUGCAGUGGCAGAGGAAAAAGUCUCUGGAUCUUUGACCAAUUUAUCAGGUGAUGUUGAGGGGAAUUCAGGAGACUCAUUUCCUUACCCGAUUUUGCGGCCAAUUAUUGUUCCAAAUAUGUCGAGGGAAAGAUCAAGAUCUGAAUUUAAGCGUAGUCAAGGUCACAAAAGCCCAUGUGUUCCUCCCAGUAGGCGAGAGCAGCCUCGGAUUAAGCGGCCACCAUCACCUGUAGUGCUUUGUGUUCCACAAGCUCCACGUCCUCCUCCACCCUCCCCGGUAGGUGAAUCCAGAAAGCACAGGGGGUUUUCUACGGUUAGAUCUGGUAGUUCCAGCCCAAGGCACUGGGGUGUGAGAGGUUGGUACCAGGAUGGAACUACCUUUGAGGAAGCCUGUGUUUGCAUGGAUGGUGCUGAAGUUGUUUGGCCUUCUUGGAGAAAUAGAAGUAUUUCAGUUCAUCCCAUAAUUCAACCUCUACCAGGAACUCUGCUGCAGGAUCGCCUGAUUGCAAUCUCCCAGCUAGCUCGUGAUCAGGAACAUCCAGAUGUUGCACUUCCACUGCAACCACCAGAGUUACUUAACUGUCCCUUGCGGAAGGCAUCGCUCUCUUUGAUGCACAGUCGUCUUCAUGAUGAAAUUGACUCUUUCUGCAAGAAGGUUUCGGCAGAGAAUAUGAUUAGGAAACCUUACAUUAAUUGGGCCGUUAAGCGGGUUGCACGGUCGCUCCAAGUCCUCUGGCCCCGGUCCAGAACAAACAUCUUUGGUUCAAAUGCCACUGGUUUGUCCCUUCCAACGAGUGACGUGGACCUCGUGGUCUGUCUACCCCCUGUGAGGAACCUGGAACCUAUUAAAGAAGCUGGAAUCUUGGAGGGUCGUAAUGGUAUUAAAGAAACUUGCCUUCAGCAUGCUGCAAGGUAUCUUGCCAAUCAGGAGUGGGUGACAAACGAUUCACUCAAGACUGUGGAAAAUACAGCUAUACCUAUUAUCAGGCUUGUCGUGGAAGUUCCUCAUGAUUUUAUAACUCCUGGUGCGUCAAAUUUACAAACACCGAGGGAUGUGCCAGCUGGAGUGACCAGUGAACUAGGCAAUCCUGCUCAUAUCAAUAUGGCUGGUUCGGAAAAUUUUGUAUCGUCAAAGUGUUCACAGAUAAAUAGUGGCAAUGAUUCAAAAUCCAUCCGCCUUGACAUCAGUUUCAAGUCUCCAUCGCAUACAGGACUCCAGACAACAGAACUUGUUAAAGAACUCACUGACCAAUUUCCUGCAGCGACUCCGCUUGCUUUAGUUCUAAAAAAGUUUCUGGCAGAUCGUAGCCUGGACCAGUCCUACUCUGGUGGUUUAAGUUCGUAUUGUUUGGUCAUAAUGAUCAUACGUUUUCUUCAGCAUGAACAUCAUCUUGGCCGCUCUAUAAACCAAAAUUUUGGAAGCCUUCUGAUGGAUUUUCUUUACUUCUUUGGGAAUGUGUUUGAUCCCCGCCUAAUGCGUAUUUCAGUUCAGGGUAGUGGAGUAUAUAUAAAUAGGGAAAGAGGGUACAGCAUUGAUCCAAUUCACAUUGAUGAUCCUCUAUUUCCGUCAAAUAACGUGGGGAGGAAUUGCUUUCGGAUACAUCAGUGUAUCAAGGCAUUUUCAGAGGCCUUUGCUGUUCUGGAGAAUGAGCUCGCCUGCCUUCCAAAUGAUGGUGAUUCAAGUAUUAAGCCACCAUAUAGGCUGCUUCCUAAAAUUGUCCUGAGUAUUGAUCAUUUAUGAGGAUUUUGAAAACCUGGUGCCUUCCAUAUUACAAAGGUAGGGUUUACAUUGGGUUCAUUUGACCCAGGAUCUCUAAAUCCAAUCCAAGUGGAUGAAGCUGAGGUGGUGGCAAUCCAAAGUACAAGAAAUCUUGCCCAGGCUCACUGAAAUUCAGUUCGAAUGGGGAGUUGGUUGGCAGAAAAUUGAGCUCUGUAUGCUGAAAUCAGGCCAGGAUGCCUGAUUUUUGGGGAUCUCUGGGGAUACUGAUGCCAUAUUUUAAGCAAGAUUUCAAGACUUGCUUUUCAGUUGAGAUGAGGAGGUUGCUGGCAGAAAAGGAGCUCUGUAUUAUCAGGUUUGACCUGCCUGAUUUGGGGAUCUGCCUUUGUGACUCAUAAGGUGCAAUAUUUUAGAUUAAAUGUAUCCUUGGAUGAGCCAUUAUGUGGCUGUCGAGUUGUAUGCUUCUUCAUGCUGAGUGGAAAGUUGGUUAAGUUUUGGGGUGCAGCAUCAGGCCUCCACCACAAUCUUCCCUGAUGCUCUCUCUCUCUCUCUCUCUCAUUGUGUAUGCCAACUACAAGUCAGCCAUGGUAUGCGGAUUGCGACAAAAAUGAGGAAUAGCUGAAUUUUCACUUGCAACACCCUUUAAUUUGGCAAGUUCUGCACUGCUGUUGUAUGUGUACAUCUGAUUCAUCUUAUGUUUGUGCCAGACUAAGUUCAAUUUUUCAGUCCUUAAAAUGUAUAUUUUUGGCUCCUUGCAGUGGGACGUCUAGGUACAGGUUAGGAGUUCUUGAAUAUGGGGGGUGUAACCAUAAACCAAAGUAAAUGAAUUGAGUACUUGAUUUCGGUCUGAAAUCAAAUUUAAUAUACUUGGUUAUAUGGUGCGUAAAUAUUCUAUGUCACCUUCAUUUGUGGCUUGAAGUAAUCUCUGGUAUCCUGUAACUAGAUGAUGAAUAUGGCGGUGCACUUGUCAAUGACUGAUCUGAGCGCCGCCAGAGAUAGCUUUGUAAAAUUGGAAGUUCAAGGUUUCAAUUCCUAAAUAUUUUAUUUGAGAUUGAUGACUAUAUUAUUCUCAA